CAAAACUUUCAACGACGGAUCUCUUGGUUCUGGCAUCGAUGAAGAACGCAGCAAAAUGCGAUAAGUAAUGUGAAUUGCAGAAUUCAGUGAAUCAUCGAAUCUUUGAACGCACAUUGCGCCCGCCAGUAUUCUGGCGGGCAUGCCUGUUCGAGCGUCA
rnacentral:rRNA from 1 species